GGGAAUAUUGGGCAAUGGGCGCAAGCCUGACCCAGCGACGCCGCGUGAGGGAAGACGGUCUUCGGAUUGUAAACCUCUUUCAGCAGGGAAGACAAAAGGACGGUACCUGCAGAAGAAGCCACGGCUAACUACGUGCCAGCAGCCGCGGUAAUACGUAGGUGGCAAGCGUUAUCCGGAUUUAUUGGGUGUAAAGGGCGUGUAGGCGGGAGCGCAAGUCAGAUGUGAAAACUCAGGGCUCAACCCUGAGCCUGCAUUUGAAACUGUGUUUCUUGAGUGCUGGAGAGGCAAUCGGAAUUCCGUGUGUAGCGGUGAAAUGCGUAGAUAUACGGAGGAACACCAGUGGCGAAGGCGGAUUGCUGGACAGUAACUGACGCUGAGGCGCGAAAGCGUGGGGAGCAAACA
rnacentral:rRNA from 1 species